rnacentral:rRNA from 1 species
UGGUCGCUUACCACUUUGUGAUUCAUGACUGGGGUGAAGUCGUAACAAGGUAACCGUAGGGGAACCUGCGGUUGGAUCACCUCCUUACCUUAAAGAA